GAUGAAGAACGCAGCGAAAUGCGAUAAGUAAUGUGAAUUGCAGAAUUCAGUGAAUCAUCGAAUCUUUGAACGCACAUUGCGCCCGCCAGCAUUCUGGCGGGCAUGCCUGUUCGAGCGUCAUUUCAACCCUCGAGCCCCCCCGGGGGCCUCGGUGUUGGGGGACGGCACACCAGCCGCCCCCGAAAUGCAGUGGCGACCCCGCCGCAGCCUCCCCUGCGUAGUAGCACACACCUCGCACCGGAGCGCGGAGGCGGUCACGCCGUAAAACGCCCAACUUUCUUAGAGUUGACCUCGGAUCAGGUAGGAAUACCCGCUGAACUUAAGCAUAUCAAUAGCGGAGGA
rnacentral:misc_RNA from 1 species